UGUCUAUGUGUGUAUGUCAGGCUCUGGUUCUUUGAGAGCAAAGUUCGAGCUGUCUGAUGGUCCAUCCAUCCCUGCCACCCUGGCUGUUCAGUUCUUCAGCGAGGGCAGCACUCUGUCUGGUGUAGAUGUGGAACUGGUUGGCUCCGGUUACCGACUCUCCCUCAAUAAGAAGAGAUUUGCCACUGGCCGCUAUAUGGCUGACUGCUGAGAUCUGAGUAGAGGCCUGUCCGCUCUCAAAUGCCAGGAACCUGGAGGUUCAUUUCUGUUCUUUCAUUAAUUCUGUCACUGCUUCUCAAUGAUAAUUAUGGAGGAUCAUUAGGGGGGAUGGGAAAAGAGAGCUGUCUGCGUGAAGGCCUCUCAUGCUUCUGUUUUCUCUCCACAUUCUGAACGAUCCAGUUCCAGUGAAUUAUAUUCUGGAGACUCGAGAUUUUUAUAUUACAGUAACGUAGCACUGAGUAUCAAACACUGUGUACAAAGAAAAAAUUAAAAAAAGAAAAGAAAAAAGAAGGAAUGUCCGGAUAUUGGUGAAUGAAAUCAUUAAUCUUUGAUACUUUUUGAUCAAUUCAGACUUUUAUAAAGUCAGACUGUUAGUGUUUGUUAUUUUGAAAUGUAUAGUUAACAAUUUGCAUUAUGAAUUAGAGGUGUAUAAACAUAUAGCAUAUCUAAGCAAAAAAAAAA